rnacentral:rRNA from 1 species
UGGGGAAUAUUGGACAAUGGGCGCAAGCCUGAUCCAGCAAUGCCGCGUGUGUGAAGAAGGCCUUCGGGUUGUAAAGCACUUUUAUCAGGAGCGAAACGCUGUCGGCUAAUACCCGGCGGAACUGACGGUACCUGAGGAAUAAGCACCGGCUAACUUCGUGCCAGCAGCCGCGGUAAUACGAAGGGUGCAAGCGUUAAUCGGAAUUACUGGGCGUAAAGCGUGCGUAGGCGGUUUCUUAAGUCUGCUGUGAAAUCCCCGGGCUCAACCUGGGAAUGGCAGUGGAUACUGGGAGGCUAGAGUGUGUCAGAGGGUGGUGGAAUUCCCGGUGUAGCGGUGAAAUGCGUAGAGAUCGGGAGGAACAUCAGUGGCGAAGGCGGCCACCUGGGACAACACUGACGCUGAGGCACGAAAGCGUGGGGAGCAAACAGGAUUAGAUACCCUGGUAGUCCACGCCCUAAAGCGAUGCGAACUGGAUGUUGGUCUCAACUCGGAGAUCAGUGUCGAAGCUAACGCGUUAAGUUCGCCGCCUGGGGAGUACGGUCGCAAGACUGAAACUUAAAUGAAUUGACGGGGUCAUACUGUUUCCU